rnacentral:misc_RNA from 1 species
CCGAACUGUCAACAAGAGUUGUUGCUGGUCCUCAUGCGGGGGCAUGUGCACACUCUGUUUACACAUCCACUCACACCUGUGCACCCUCUGUAGUUCUGUGGCCUGGGGGCUUUGUCCUCCUGCUGCGGUUCUAUGUCUUUACACACACACAGUAAUGAAGUCUCAUGGAAUGUAUGUCGCGUUUAACGCAAUGAAAUA